AUGGAGGGAUUCAGAUCACGGUUGUCAUUACUGAUGGAGGGAUUCAGAUCACUGUUGUCAUUACUGAUGGAGUGCUUUCUCUUCUCUCCUCUUCUGUUCCUUUCUUGUCUUCACCUCUCUGUUGCUUAUUCUCUCUUAUAUUUUACUCUGGGUGGACUUCCAUCCCCCCUCUCUCUCUUUCCAUCCCCCUGUCUCUCUUUCCAUCCCCCUGUCUCUCUUUCCAUCCCCCCUGUCUCUCUUUCCAUCCCCCUGUCUCUCUUUCCAUCCCCCCCUCUCUCUUUCCAUCCCCCCUGUCUCUCUUUCCAUCCCCCCCUCUCUCUUUCCAUCCCCCCUCUCUCUUUCCAUCCCCCUCUCUCUCUUUCCAUCCCCCUCUCUCUCUUUCCAUCCCCCUCUCUCUCUUUCCAUCCCCCCUCUCUCUCUUUCCAUCCCCCCUCUCUCUCUUUCCAUCCCCCCUCUCUCUCUUUCCAUCCCCCCCUCUCUCUUUCCAUCCCCCCCUCUCUCUCUUUCCAUCCCCCCUCUCUCUUUCCAUCCCCCCUCUCUCUCUCUUUCUAUCCCCCCUCUCUCUCUCUUUCCAUCCCCCCCUCUCUCUUUCUAUCCCCUCUCUCUCUUUCCAUCCCCCCCUCUCUCUCUUUCCAUCCCCCCCUCUCUCUCUUUCUAUACCCCCCUCUCUCUCUUUCUAUACCCCCUCUCUCUCUCUUUCUAUACCCCCCUCUCUCUCUCUUUCUAUACCCCCUCUCUCUCUCUUUCUAUACCCCCCUCUCUCUCUCUUUCUAUACCCCCUCUCUCUCUCUUUCUAUACCCCCCUCUCUCUCUCUUUCUAUACCCCCCUCUCUCUCUCUUUCUAUACCCCCCUCUCUCUCUCUUUCUAUACCCCCUCUCUCUCUCUUUCUAUACCCCCCUCUCUCUCUCUUUCUAUACCCCCUCUCUCUCUCUUUCUAUACCCCCCCUCUCUCUCUCUUUCUAUCCCCCCUCUCUCUUUCCAUCCCCCCCUGUCUCUCUCUACCCCCCUCUCUCCUCCUCUCCAGGUCUCCUGUCUAA
rnacentral:lncRNA from 1 species